UCCCACAUGGUCUAGCGGUUAGGAUUUCUGGUUUUUCACCCAGGUGGCCUGGGUUUGACUCCCGGUGUGGAAA
rnacentral:tRNA from 1 species